rnacentral:hammerhead_ribozyme from 1 species
AUCCAGCUGUUGAGUCCCAAAUAGGACGAAACGCAUGUCCUGGAU